GCUCAGAUUGAACGCUGGCGGCAGGCCUAACACAUGCAAGUCGAGCGGAAACGAGUUAUCUGAACCUUCGGGGAACGAUAACGGCGUCGAGCGGCGGACGGGUGAGUAAUGCCUAGGAAAUUGCCCUGAUGUGGGGGAUAACCAUUGGAAACGAUGGCUAAUACCGCAUAAUGCCUACGGGCCAAAGAGGGGGACCUUCGGGCCUCUCGCGUCAGGAUAUGCCUAGGUGGGAUUAGCUAGUUGGUGAGGUAAUGGCUCACCAAGGCGACGAUCCCUAGCUGGUCUGAGAGGAUGAUCAGCCACACUGGAACUGAGACACGGUCCAGACUCCUACGGGAGGCAGCAGUGGGGAAUAUUGCACAAUGGGCGCAAGCCUGAUGCAGCCAUGCCGCGUGUGUGAAGAAGGCCUUCGGGUUGUAAAGCACUUUCAGUCGUGAGGAAGGUGGUGUAGUUAAUAGCUGCAUUAUUUGACGUUAGCGACAGAAGAAGCACCGGCUAACUCCGUGCCAGCAGCCGCGGUAAUACGGAGGGUGCGAGCGUUAAUCGGAAUUACUGGGCGUAAAGCGCAUGCAGGUGGUUUGUUAAGUCAGAUGUGAAAGCCCGGGGCUCAACCUCGGAAUAGCAUUUGAAACUGGCAGACUAGAGUACUGUAGAGGGGGGUAGAAUUUCAGGUGUAGCGGUGAAAUGCGUAGAGAUCUGAAGGAAUACCGGUGGCGAAGGCGGCCCCCUGGACAGAUACUGACACUCAGAUGCGAAAGCGUGGGGAGCAAACAGGAUUAGAUACCCUGGUAGUCCACGCCGUAAACGAUGUCUACUUGGAGGUUGUGGCCUUGAGCCGUGGCUUUCGGAGCUAACGCGUUAAGUAGACCGCCUGGGGAGUACGGUCGCAAGAUUAAAACUCAAAUGAAUUGACGGGGGCCCGCACAAGCGGUGGAGCAUGUGGUUUAAUUCGAUGCAACGCGAAGAACCUUACCUACUCUUGACAUCCAGAGAACUUUCCAGAGAUGGAUUGGUGCCUUCGGGAACUCUGAGACAGGUGCUGCAUGGCUGUCGUCAGCUCGUGUUGUGAAAUGUUGGGUUAAGUCCCGCAACGAGCGCAACCCUUAUCCUUGUUUGCCAGCGAGUAAUGUCGGGAACUCCAGGGAGACUGCCGGUGAUAAACCGGAGGAAGGUGGGGACGACGUCAAGUCAUCAUGGCCCUUACGAGUAGGGCUACACACGUGCUACAAUGGCGCAUACAGAGGGCAGCAAGCUAGCGAUAGUGAGCGAAUCCCAAAAAGUGCGUCGUAGUCCGGAUUGGAGUCUGCAACUCGACUCCAUGAAGUCGGAAUCGCUAGUAAUCGUGGAU
rnacentral:rRNA from 1 species